ACCUUCCACAAAGAUCUCUGAAACUUUGUUUGACUGAAAUUUUGUUUGACCUGGUAAAGCUUCAGCAGUUUUGAUGUCAAAAUCUUCAGAUAAAAGUUGAAAUCCUGCUUCAUUCGCAAGCGAGCUCAAUUUAACUUCCUUCUUUUGCUGAAGUGCAUAUGUCAAGAUUUUAUGCAAUGUACUACCUUCUAAACCUGAAACCAGAUCUUUUAGGAUGACUUGUUUCCCCUGAUUCAUUA
rnacentral:misc_RNA from 1 species